UACGUAGGGGGCUAGCGUUGUCCGGAAUCAUUGGGCGUAAAGCGCGUGUAGGCGGUCCGGUAAGUCCGCUGUGAAAGUCGGGGGCUCAACCCUCGAAAGCCGGUGGAAACUGUCGGGCUAGAGUGCGGAAGAGGCGAGUGGAAUUCCUGGUGUAGCGGUGAAAUGCGCAGAUAUCAGGAGGAACACCAAUUGCGAAGGCAGCUCGCUGGGACGUUACUGACGCUGGAGACGCGAAAGCGUGGGGAGCAAACAGG
rnacentral:rRNA from 1 species